UACAGAGGGUGCAAGCGUUGCUCGGAUUUACUGGGCGUAAAGCGUACGCAGACGGCUUGGAAGGUCGGACGUGAAAGCCCCGGGCUCAACCCGGGAAAUGCGUCCGAAACCACCUUGCUUGAGUAUGAGAGAGGGAAGCGGAAUUCCUGGUGUAGAGGUGAAAUUCGUAGAUAUCAGGAGGAACAUCUGCGGCGAAGGCGGCUUCCUGGCUCAUUACUGACGUUCAGGUACGAAAGCGUGGGUAGCAAACAGG
rnacentral:rRNA from 1 species